GGGUUGUGAGGUUAAGCGACUAAGCGUACACGGUGGAUGCCCUGGCAGUCAGAGGCGAUGAAGGACGUGCUAAUCUGCGAUAAGCGUCGGUAAGGUGAUAUGAACCGUUAUAACCGGCGAUUUCCGAAUGGGGAAACCCAGUGUGAUUCGUCACACUAUCAUUAACUGAAUCCAUAGGUUAAUGAGGCGAACCGGGGGAACUGAAACAUCUAAGUACCCCGAGGAAAAGAAAUCAACCGAGAUUCCCCCAGUAGCGGCGAGCGAACGGGGAGCAGCCCAGAGCCUGAAUCAGUGUGUGUGUUAGUGGAAGCGUCUGGAAAGGCGCGCGAUACAGGGUGACAGCCCCGUACACAAAAAUGCACAUACUGUGAGCUCGAUGAGUAGGGCGGGACACGUGGUAUCCUGUCUGAAUAUGGGGGGACCAUCCUCCAAGGCUAAAUACUCCUGACUGACCGAUAGUGAACCAGUACCGUGAGGGAAAGGCGAAAAGAACCCCGGCGAGGGGAGUGAAAAAGAACCUGAAACCGUGUACGUACAAGCAGUGGGAGCACGCUUAGGCGUGUGACUGCGUACCUUUUGUAUAAUGGGUCAGCGACUUAUAUUCUGUAGCAAGGUUAACCGAAUAGGGGAGCCGAAGGGAAACCGAGUCUUAACUGGGCGUUAAGUUGCAGGGUAUAGACCCGAAACCCGGUGAUCUAGCCAUGGGCAGGUUGAAGGUUGGGUAACACUAACUGGAGGACCGAACCGACUAAUGUUGAAAAAUUAGCGGAUGACUUGUGGCUGGGGGUGAAAGGCCAAUCAAACCGGGAGAUAGCUGGUUCUCCCCGAAAGCUAUUUAGGUAGCGCCUCGUGAAUUCAUCUCCGGGGUAGAGCACUGUUUCGGCAAGGGGGUCAUCCCGACUUACCAACCCGAUGCAAACUGCGAAUACCGGAGAAUGUUAUCACGGGAGACACACGGCGGGUGCUAACGUCCGUCGUGAAGAGGGAAACAACCCAGACCGCCAGCUAAGGUCCCAAAGUCAUGGUUAAGUGGGAAACGAUGUGGGAAGGCCCAGACAGCCAGGAUGUUGGCUUAGAAGCAGCCAUCAUUUAAAGAAAGCGUAAUAGCUCACUGGUCGAGUCGGCCUGCGCGGAAGAUGUAACGGGGCUAAACCAUGCACCGAAGCUGCGGCAGCGACGCUGAUGCGUUGUUGGGUAGGGGAGCAUUCUGUAAGCCUGCGAAGGUGUGCUGUGAGGCAUGCUGGAGGUAUCAGAAGUGCGAAUGCUGACAUAAGUAACGAUAAAGCGGGUGAAAAGCCCGCUCGCCGGAAGACCAAGGGUUCCUGUCCAACGUUAAUCGGGGCAGGGUGAGUCGACCCCUAAGGCGAGGCCGAAAGGCGUAGUCGAUGGGAAACAGGUUAAUAUUCCUGUACUUGGUGUUACUGCGAAGGGGGGACGGAGAAGGCUAUGUUGGCCGGGCGACGGUUGUCCCGGUUUAAGCGUGUAGGCUGGUUUUCCAGGCAAAUCCGGAAAAUCAAGGCUGAGGCGUGAUGACGAGGCACUACGGUGCUGAAGCAACAAAUGCCCUGCUUCCAGGAAAAGCCUCUAAGCAUCAGGUAACAUCAAAUCGUACCCCAAACCGACACAGGUGGUCAGGUAGAGAAUACCAAGGCGCUUGAGAGAACUCGGGUGAAGGAACUAGGCAAAAUGGUGCCGUAACUUCGGGAGAAGGCACGCUGAUAUGUAGGUGAGGUCCCUCGCGGAUGGAGCUGAAAUCAGUCGAAGAUACCAGCUGGCUGCAACUGUUUAUUAAAAACACAGCACUGUGCAAACACGAAAGUGGACGUAUACGGUGUGACGCCUGCCCGGUGCCGGAAGGUUAAUUGAUGGGGUCAGCGCAAGCGAAGCUCUUGAUCGAAGCCCCGGUAAACGGCGGCCGUAACUAUAACGGUCCUAAGGUAGCGAAAUUCCUUGUCGGGUAAGUUCCGACCUGCACGAAUGGCGUAAUGAUGGCCAGGCUGUCUCCACCCGAGACUCAGUGAAAUUGAACUCGCUGUGAAGAUGCAGUGUACCCGCGGCAAGACGGAAAGACCCCGUGAACCUUUACUAUAGCUUGACACUGAACAUUGAGCCUUGAUGUGUAGGAUAGGUGGGAGGCUUGGAAGUGUGGACGCCAGUCUGCAUGGAGCCGACCUUGAAAUACCACCCUUUAAUGUUUGAUGUUCUAACGUUGACCCGUAAUCCGGGUUGCGGACAGUGUCUGGUGGGUAGUUUGACUGGGGCGGUCUCCUCCUAAAGAGUAACGGAGGAGCACGAAGGUUGGCUAAUCCUGGUCGGACAUCAGGAGGUUAGUGCAAUGGCAUAAGCCAGCUUGACUGCGAGCGUGACGGCGCGAGCAGGUGCGAAAGCAGGUCAUAGUGAUCCGGUGGUUCUGAAUGGAAGGGCCAUCGCUCAACGGAUAAAAGGUACUCCGGGGAUAACAGGCUGAUACCGCCCAAGAGUUCAUAUCGACGGCGGUGUUUGGCACCUCGAUGUCGGCUCAUCACAUCCUGGGGCUGAAGUAGGUCCCAAGGGUAUGGCUGUUCGCCAUUUAAAGUGGUACGCGAGCUGGGUUUAGAACGUCGUGAGACAGUUCGGUCCCUAUCUGCCGUGGGCGCUGGAGAACUGAGGGGGGCUGCUCCUAGUACGAGAGGACCGGAGUGGACGCAUCACUGGUGUUCGGGUUGUCAUGCCAAUGGCACUGCCCGGUAGCUAAAUGCGGAAGAGAUAAGUGCUGAAAGCAUCUAAGCACGAAACUUGCCCCGAGAUGAGUUCUCCCUGACCCUUUAAGGGUCCUGAAGGAACGUUGAAGACGACGACGUUGAUAGGCCGGGUGUGUAAGCGCAGCGAUGCGUUGAGCUAACCGGUACUAAUGAACCGUGAGGCUUAACCUUACAACGCCGAAG
rnacentral:rRNA from 1 species